UACGUAGGGCGCAAGCGUUAUCCGGAAUUAUUGGGCGUAAAGAGCUUGUAGGCGGUCUGUCGCGUCUGCUGUGAAAACUCAGGGCUUAACCCUGAGCUUGCAGUGGGUACGGGCAGACUAGAGUGCGGUAGGGGAGACUGGAAUUCCUGGUGUAGCGGUGAAAUGCGCAGAUAUCAGGAGGAACACCGGUGGCGAAGGCGGGUCUCUGGGCCGUAACUGACGCUGGAGGAGCGAAAGCCAUGGGAGCGAACAGG
rnacentral:rRNA from 1 species